AUGCACCUACGGGAGGAGCAGUGGGGGAUAUUGCACAAUGGGGGAAACCCUGAUGCAGCGACGCCGCGUGGGCGAAGAAGUAUUUCGGUAUGUAAAGCCCUAUCAGCAGGGAAGAAAAUGACAGUACCUGACUAAGAAGCCCCGGCUAACUACGUGCCAGCAGCCGCGGUAAUACGUAGGGGGCAAGCGUUAUCCGGAUUUACUGGGUGUAAAGGGAGCGUAGACGGCUGCGCAAGUCAGAAGUGAAAGCCCGGGGCUCAACCGCGGGACUGCUUUUGAAACUGUGUAGCUAGAGUGCAGGAGAG
rnacentral:rRNA from 1 species